rnacentral:rRNA from 1 species
AGAACGAACGCUGGCGGCAGGCUUAACACAUGCAAGUCGAACGCCACGCAAGGGGAGUGGCAGACGGGUGAGUAACACGUGGGAACAUGCCCAAAGGUACGGAAUAUUCUCGGGAAACUGGGAGCAAUACCGUAUGUGCCCGAAAGGGGAAGAUUUAUCGCCUUUGGAUUGGCCCGCGUCGGAUUAGCUAGUUGGUGGGGUAAAGCUUACCAAGGCGACGAUCCGUAGCUGGUCUAGAGAGGACGACCAGCCGCACUGGGACUGAGACACGGCCAGACUCCUACGGGAGGCAGCA